rnacentral:precursor_RNA from 8 species
CGCUUCGUAUCCUUUUGCCUGAUUCCAGGCUGAGGUAGUAGUUUGUACAGUUUGAGGGUCUAUGAUACCACCCGGUACAGGAGAUAACUGUACAGGCCACUGCCUUGCCGGGAACAGUGCGCCGGCUACCGAGUGGGG